rnacentral:rRNA from 1 species
GCAGUCGAGCGAAUGGAUUGAGAGCUUGCUCUCAAGAAGUUAGCGGCGGACGGGUGAGUAACACGUGGGUAACCUGCCCAUAAGACUGGGAUAACUCCGGGAAACCGGGGCUAAUACCGGAUAACAUUUUGAACUGCAUGGUUCGAAAUUGAAAGGCGGCUUCGGCUGUCACUUAUGGAUGGACCCGCGUCGCAUUAGCUAGUUGGUGAGGUAACGGCUCACCAAGGCAACGAUGCGUAGCCGACCUGAGAGGGUGAUCGGCCACACUGGGACUGAGCCAGGGCCCAAACUUCUACGGGAGGCAGCAGUGGGGAAUCUUCCGCAAUGGACGAAAGUCUGACGGAGCAACGCCGCGUGAGUGAUGAAGGCUUUCGGGUCGUAAAACUCUGUUGUUAGGGAAGAACAAGUGCUAGUUGAAUAAGCUGGCACCUUGACGGUACCUAACCAGAAAGCCACGGCUAACUACGUGCCAGCAGCCGCGGUAAUACGUAGGUGGCAAGCGUUAUCCGGAAUUAUUGGGCGUAAAGCGCGCGCAGGUGGUUUCUUAAGUCUGAUGUGAAAGCCCACGGCUCAACCGUGGAGGGUCAUUGGAAAACUGGGAGACUUGAGUGCAGAAGAGGAAAGUGGAAUUCCAUGUGUAGCGGUGAAAU